AGAGCGAACGCUGGCGGCAGGCUUAACACAUGCAAGUCGAGCGGGCGUAGCAAUACGUCAGCGGCAGACGGGUGAGUAACGCGUGGGAACGUACCUUUUGGUUCGGAACAACCCAGGGAAACUUGGGCUAAUACCGGAUAAGCCCUUACGGGGAAAGAUUUAUCGCCGAAAGAUCGGCCCGCGUCUGAUUAGCUAGUUGGUGAGGUAAUGGCUCACCAAGGCGACGAUCAGUAGCUGGUCUGAGAGGAUGAUCAGCCACAUUGGGACUGAGACACGGCCCAAACUCCUACGGGAGGCAGCAGUGGGGAAUAUUGGACAAUGGGCGCAAGCCUGAUCCAGCCAUGCCGCGUGAGUGAUGAAGGCCCUAGGGUUGUAAAGCUCUUUGUGCGGGAAGAUAAUGACGGUACCGCAAGAAUAACGCCCCGGCUAACUUCGUGCCAGCAGCCGC
rnacentral:rRNA from 1 species